AAGAGUUAGGGUCUCUCAGGCCCGACCUCCCAACCCAUUGUUUACUGAACCACUGUUGCUUCGGCGGGCCCGUCUUCACGACCGCCGGAGGACCGUUAAACCGUCCUCUGGUCCGCGCCCGCCGGUGGCCCCAACUUAACAAAUUCUUGAAUGAAUCGUGUCAUUGUCUGAGUACUAUUUGAAAAAAUAAAUUA
rnacentral:misc_RNA from 1 species